GGGGGGGAGGGACCCCAGCAGUUGUCCCCAGCAUGUUUCCCCAGCAGCGUGGCCAGGGCUGAGGGGACACUCAUGGCCUAAAAGGGGCAGAAGAGAAACCUCUGCCUGAAGGGUCCCCCCCUUGCUCCCCCUCAGGGCCAUUCCACCCAGCUCCCACCCCCUGAGGGUUCCCCCCAGGUAGGCUAGCCCAAGGGCCUGAGCCCCUGCAGGCGUUCAGCUCCUGGCUUCAGCCUCUCUCUGCCUCCAGGUGCCCCCGAGCCCCCUGCCUCCGCUUCCUUCUCUGUGAGCUCCUCUGUUAAACAGCCGCAUGCACACGCCUGUUCCUAGGGCUGCUGAGAAAUUCGCUGAGCGGACACGGGCACCCUCAGCUCCUGGUUCAGCUCCUGGUUCAGCUCCCCGCAGGACAAGCACAGUUCUGCAGCCUUCUCAUCAUUUGGCCAGUGACAGGAGACUGACCCCAUGGAGCUGCUCAUCCUCUGUGUCCCCUGUCCACUCUUCCUCUUUCUUGGAGCCUCUGUGCAAAAGGUGCUUCCUGCAGGAAGCCCUCCGUGAUCACCCCAGGAAUGAGAUCUUACUGAUUACCACCUUGUCUUUUACAUAUUUCCCGACUCUAUAUACUCACGGCAAAAUGGAAUGAAUGUUCGAGUUUAUUUGGCUGCAAAACAGAUGGGGAAACCGGAGGGAAGUGACUGGCUCAAGGACACCUCACAAUUCAAAGCAGUGCAGAGCUCAAAACCCCUGACUCCUGGGCAGAGCGUCCCUGCCACCCCCUCAAGCCCACAGGGAUUCGGGGCUGUCUUGUGCUCAGCCGCUCAGCGGCCGCCCCACCGGCUGACCAGAGCCACGUGCUGUUCGUGUUUGAGAUACUCACGUCGCCGUUGUUUUCUUCUCUUCCUUUUAAGGGCUCAGGAUGCAGGAAAACCAACUCAACGUGCAUAAUUUGUUUUGUCAUGGUUGAAAGUCAAAUGCUGGAACAGAUCGAUGCUCGCACGGCGAGCUGGAGCCCAGAAACCUUCGGCAGGAGCAGAAUUUUAAUUCUCCCAUCCCGGGCCCCUUACCCCUCCCCCCAUCCCCAGCACACCCACUUUCUAAGAGUUCCAAAAGCCACUUUCUCCACAAACGGUGCCCGUUGCCUUCACGUCCAAAACCCAUCGCCAGCCUUCGAAGGCAAA